CCUACGGGUGGCUGCAGUGGGGAAUAUUGGACAAUGGGCGCAAGCCUGAUCCAGCAAUGCCGCGUGUGUGAAGAAGGCCUUCGGGUUGUAAAGCACUUUUAUCAGGAGCGAAAUGCCAUGGGCCAAUACCCCGUGGAGCUGACGGUACCUGAGGAAUAAGCACCGGCUAACUUCGUGCCAGCAGCCGCGGUAAUACGAAGGGUGCAAGCGUUGAUCGGAGUGACUGGGGGCAAAGGGUGAGGUGGCGGGUGAAAUCCCCGGGCUCAACCUGGGAAUGGCAAUGGAUACUGGCGGGCUAGAGUGUGUCAGAGGAUGGUGGAAUUCCCGGUGUAGCGGUGAAAUGCGUAGAGAUCGGGAGGAACAUCAGUGGCGAAGGCGGCCAUCUGGGACAACACUGACGCUGAAGCACGAAAGCGUGGGGAGCAAACAGGAUUAGAUACCCGGGUAGUC
rnacentral:rRNA from 1 species